AAAAAAAAAAAAAAAACUGUGUGUGGGGAAACAAAAUAAAUGUACAAUUGGUGCAACUUCAACAGCUAUCAUAACUAAAAGAUACUGAUGAUUUGGAACCUUGGAACAAUCUCAAGGUUUGUUGUUGAGGCACUGUGAGACUGGACAGAAAGUUUGUUGGCCCCAUCGGUGGUACGGUACCAUAUGUUAAUGUAUAAUCCCAUUUUGCAUAUAUGACUGGAUCUUGGUCUGCCCUCAAGGCAUUAGGAGCUUUAAACCAUAGGGGUGGCCACAAAAUUUUGUCUUCUAAGAAAAGGCCCAUUGGAGGACCGGGGUUGCUUAGACAUACAGACCUAAACCCCCUUGACUCCUAGUUGAAGUGGGAUAUUGGCAUCAUAAGAAUUUUUUUUAAUGAAUAAGCACAACAAUGUGAAUAAAUGUAAUUUUAUUGCUAGGUUGAUGAUAAGGC
rnacentral:misc_RNA from 1 species